rnacentral:rRNA from 1 species
CGUGUAGGCGGGUCUUUAAGUCAGGGGUGAAAUGCCAAGGCUCAACCUUGGAACUGCCUUUGAUACUGGAGAUCUUGAGUCCGGGAGAGGUGAGUGGAACUGCGAGUGUAGAGGUGAAAUUCGUAGAUAUUCGCAAGAACACCAGUGGCGAAGGCGGCUCACUGGCCCGGAACUGACGCUGAGACGCGAAAGCGUGGGGAGCAAACAGGAUUAGAUACCCUGGUAGUCCACGCUGUAAACGAUGGAUGCUAGCCGUUGGGGAGCUUGCUCUUCAGUGGCGCCGCUAACGCAUUAAGCAUCCCGCCUGGGGAGUACGGUCGCAAGAUUAAA